CAGCUACCCAACCUGCAAGUGCUAGAUCUGUCCUACAACAUGAUCCAGGCUCUGCCCAGCUUCAGAGGAUGUGAGAAGAUUCAGAAAAUUGAUCUGCACCACAAUGAAAUUGAAGAGCUGCAAGCUGACACAUUCCAGGGACUGACUUCCC